GUGCUUCCUUUAGCAGCACAUAUACUAAAAUUGGAAAGAUACAGAGAUGAUUAGCAUGGCCCCCAUGCAAGGAUGACAUGCAAAUUUGUGAAGCGUUCUCUGUUUUU
rnacentral:snRNA from 1 species